rnacentral:rRNA from 1 species
UACGUAGGGGGCAAGCGUUGUCCGGAAUCAUUGGGCGUAAAGAGCGUGUAGGCGGCUUGAUAAGUCCGCUGUGAAAGUCCAGGGCUCAACCCUGGAAUGCCGGUGGAAACUGUCAAGCUUGAGUCCGGAAGAGGCGAGUGGAAUUCCUGGUGUAGCGGUGAAAUGCGCAGAUAUCAGGAGGAACACCAAUGGCGAAGGCAGCUCGCUGGGACGGUACUGACGCUGAGACGCGAAAGCGUGGGGAGCAAACAGG